AUGCUUACCUGGCGGGGAGAUGCUGUGAUCACGAAGGUGGUUUUCCCAGGGCGCAGUUUAUCCAUUGCACUCCCAAUGUGCUGACACCUGCUAUUUCCCCAAAUGCGGGAAACUUGACUGCAUAAUUUGUGAUAGUGGGGGACUGCCUCCACGCUCACCCCUG
ensembl:snRNA U1 U1 spliceosomal RNA